AAUAAAUACAGUUUUACACUAUUCAUCUCCAACGUUUAACCUAUCAUCUUAUUUGAAAAUUUUUUAUAAUUACUAUUUUUGUUGUUAUUAGAUGAUAUAAAAUAUAAAUAGUACUUUAUGUAUAACUAAUUUUUUUAAAAAUUUUCAUGAAUUUUUUAAAUAAGACAUACGGUCAAACAUUGGACACGGAUUUUCACGGCUGCACUUAUU
rfam:Oryza glumipatula chromosome 1, whole genome shotgun sequence.